GAUGAACGCUGGCGGCGUGCCUAAUACAUGCAAGUCGAGCGAACAGACGAGGAGCUUGCUCCUCUGACGUUAGCGGCGGACGGGUGAGUAACACGUGGAUAACCUACCUAUAAGACUGGGAUAACUUCGGGAAACCGGAGCUAAUACCGGAUAAUAUAUUGAACCGCAUGGUUCAAUAGUGAAAGACGGUUUUGCUGUCACUUAUAGAUGGAUCUGCGCCGCAUUAGCUAGUUGGUAAGGUAACGGCUUACCAAGGCAACGAUGCGUAGCCGACCUGAGAGGGUGAUCGGCCACACGAGAGCUGAGACACGGUCCAGACUCCUACGGGAGGCAGCAGUAGGGAAUCUUCCGCAAUGGGCGAAAGCUUGACGGAGCAACGCCGCGUGAGUGAUGAAGGUCUUCGGAUCGUAAAACUCUGUUAUUAGGGAAGAACAAAUGUGUAAGUAACUAUGCACGUCUUGACGGUACCUAAUCAGAAAGCCACGGCUAACUACGUG
rnacentral:rRNA from 1 species